UUCUUACUCUAGGUAGGAAGCUAACGAGAUCUACCACCCCAAAUGUUGCAGAUUCUUUGACUUGGAGAAGCUUAGGCAUGCUGCCUUCUCCAGCCCUGCGGAGCAGAUCUGCUGGACGCCCUGGGACUGCUGGUCGGGCACUUUCUGCAGUGAUCAGCACCACUUUGCUUAACAUUUCCCUGUGUGGCGAUGCUGUAUUUCAAGACCACACCCAAGAGGCGGGCCGUAGGCGAGGGCGAGUGUGUCUACACAGGCAUCGUGUAGCGUUGGAAGAGAUACCAGUCCAUGCUGGAUGGAACCAGCAUCCUUGGCAGGUGGCUGAAGGAGGAAACUAAGACCUCCAGUCCACACCACUGCAGUGCCUGGGCUGUUUCUGCAGGCAGAACCUAUUUGCAGAAGUUGUGCUUCCACUUGGCCUUUACUGUGAAUGUGGCCAAACACCCUGGCUCUUCAACCACGAGGGACGUAAAUUCAAAAUCUUUAAGGUCACUCUGAAACAAACACUUCAAUGCAGCACUCAUUCGAACAGGCAAAUGUAAGCAAGCAAGCCAGUGGACUGAAGCAUCUGAGAAACAAUCCACUGUUUGCUUUAAACACUAGAAAUGUACUGAUUUACUAGCUAGUAACAGACGCUUUUCUUCCACUCUUUGUUCAUUUUAAACGAUUUAGCAGAUCUGGAAGUGUUCAAGAAGUCAUAUUUCCACCGCCUCCUAAUCAUGUUGUCAGCUUAAAAUUCACAUUUAAUUAACCUCUUCACCAAAGGCAUAAAUCAACCUUAAAACUCCCAAUGCUUGCCACAGUGAUGAUGAUUUUCAUUCAUAGGAAGGAUGAACACGACUGGGAACAUUGCUGACACACCAGGGCUCACCACGAAUAGUUCUGGAAUAGGACGGAAAGUCUCUUUGCUUAGGAUUCCAGUGAAAGGCACUCAACUGCUGCUUCAAAAGACAGGCGGUACUCUUUGAAACAUCUGCUGCUGGACAACAGAAAAGAAAGCAGAAUUUCAAGCCUUGAGCAAUAAAGGCAUCCAUACGGUGAAUCCUCUGCUUCCC
rnacentral:lncRNA from 1 species